CAACUUGAGAGUUUGAUCCUGGCUCAGAGCGAACGCUGGCGGCAGGCUUAACACAUGCAAGUCGAGCGGGCGUAGCAAUACGUCAGCGGCAG
rnacentral:rRNA from 2 species